rnacentral:rRNA from 1 species
GACAGAGGGUGCAAACGUUGUUCGGAAUUACUGGGCGUAAAGCGCGUGUAGGCGGCUCGGAAAGUCGGAUGUGAAAGCCCUGGGCUUAACCUAGGAAGUGCAUUCGAAACUCCCGAGCUUGAGUUCUGGAGAGGGAAGCGGAAUUCUCGGUGUAGAGGUGAAAUUCGUAGAUAUCGAGAGGAACACCGGUGGCGAAGGCGGCUUCCUGGACAGUGACUGACGCUGAGACGCGAAAGCGUGGGGAGCAAACAGGAUUAGAAACCCCCGUAGUCC